AUUCUUCGGAUGACAUCUUUUGUGACUUAGUGGCGGACGGGUGAGUAACGCGUGGGUAACCUGCCUCACACAGGGGGAUAACAGUUAGAAAUGACUGCUAAUACCGCAUAACCCGAUAGGAUCGCAUGAUCCAGACGGAAAAGAUUUAUCGGUGUGAGAUGGACCCGCGUCUGAUUAGCUAGUUGGUGAGGUAACGGCCCACCAAGGCGACGAUCAGUAGCCGGCCUGAGAGGGUGAACGGCCACAUUGGGACUGAGACACGGCCCAAACUCC
rnacentral:rRNA from 1 species